UUUUGUUCCUGAUCAGACAAAACCUUCAGAAAAAAUCUGGUUCUUUGGGAAUCUGUUGUGUGCAGCAGCAGAGAGAGAACAGCAGACAGGAGAGAAGAUACUGGAGCUGUUAUCAUCAGUGUGCACAUAUGGAACAUUCCCUUUUGGUAACAGAUACAUGCAUCAGGAAUCUCAGUGUGGUUUCCUGCUGGAUCUGUACUCCCACCUGAAGGACUAUGAGACUGAAACUGGUCUGAGAGUCCUUCCAUCAUUACAGUCAGUUUUCCAGUCAGCUCCUGCAGUCUGGUCCAUAAACCUCUCAGAGAGAAAGAGCUCCAUCCUCCUGGAAGUGCUGAAACUCACAUCAGAGAAGAAACAAGUGAAGCUGACAGGCUGCUCACAUGAAGAGAGUGAAGUGAGGAGUUUCCUACAGUGUCUGCCUUAUAUCUCACAGCUCAGAGUCUCUCGGUUGUUUGAAGGUUCAGCAAAGUUCUUUGGGAAUCUGUUCUGUGCAGCAGCAGAGAGAGAACAGCAGACAGGAGAGAAGAUACUGGAGCUGUUAUCAUCAGUGUGCACAUAUGAAACAUUCCCUCUAGAUUACAUAUAUGAUGAUGAACAGGAAUAUCAGUGUGGUUUCCUGCUGGAUCUGUGCUCCCACCUGAAGGACUAUGAGACUGAAACAGUCCUGAGAAUCCUUCCAUCAUUACAUUCAGUUUUCCAGUCAGCUCCUGCAGUCUGGUCCAUAAACCUCUCAGAGAGAAAGAGCUCCAUCCUCCUGGAAGUGCUGAAACUCACAUCAGAGAAGAAACAAGUGAAGCUGACAGGCUGCUCACAUGAAGAGAGUGAAGUGAGGAGUUUCCUACAGUGUCUGCCUCAUAUCUCACAGCUCAGAGUCUCUCUGCAGUUUGGAGAUGAAGUCGAGUUCUUUGGAAAUCUGUACUGUGCAGCAGCAGAGAGAGAACAGCAGACAGGAGAGAAGAUACUGGAGCUGUUAUCAUCAGUGUGCACAUAUGAAACCUUCCAUUUUGAUGACACAGAUAAUGAUGAUGAUGAUGAUGAGAAAGAUCAAUUUGGUUUCCUGCUGGAUCUUUGCUCCUACAUAAAAGACAAAGAGACUGAAACUGGCCUGAGAGUCCUUCCAUCAUUACAGUCAAUUUUCCAGUCAGCUCCUUCAGUCUGGUCCAUAAACCUCUCAGAGAGAAAGAGCUCCAUCCUCCUGGAAGUGCUGAAACUCACAUCAGAGAAGAAACAAGUGAAGCUGACAGGCUGCUCACAUGAAGAGAGUGAAGUGAGGAGUUUCCUACAGUGUCUGCCUCAUAUCUCACAGCUCAGUGUCUCUCGGUUGUUUGAAGGUGAAGUCCAGUUCUUUGGGAAUCUGUUGUGUGCAGCAGCAGAGAGAGAACAGCAGACAGGAGAGAAGAUACUGGAGCUGUUAUCAUCAGUGUGCACAUAUGAAGGAUUCCCUUUAGAUUACAUAUAUGAUGAUGAACAGGAAUAUCAGUGUGGUUUCCUGUUGGAUCUGUGCUCCCACCUGAAGGACUAUGAGACUGAAACUGGCCUGAGAAUCCUUCCAUCAUUACAGUCAGUUUUCCAGUCAGCUCCUGCAGUCUGGUCCAUAAACCUCUCAGAGAGAAAGAGCUCCAUCCUCCUGGAAGUGCUGAAACUCACAUCAGAGAAGAAACAAGUGAAGCUGACAGGCUGCUCACAUGAAGAGAGUGAAGUGAGGAGUUUCCUACAGUGUCUGCCUCAUAUCUCACAGCUCAGUGUCUCUCUGCAGUUUAAAGGUGAAGUCGAGUUCUUUGGGAAUCUGUUCUGUGCAGCAGCAGAGAGAGAACAGCAGACAGGAGAGAAGAUACUGGAGCUGUUAUCAUCAAUGUGCACAUAUGAAACAUUCCAUUUUGAUGACACAGAUGAUGACGAUGAUGAUGAUGAUGAUGAUGAUGAUGAGAAAGAUCAAUUUGGUUUUCUGCUGGAUCUUUGCUCCUACAUAAAAGACAAAGAGACUGAAACUGGCCUGAGAGUCCUUCCAUCAUUACAGUCAGUUUUCCAGUCAGCUCCUGCAGUCUGGUCCAUAAACCUCUCAGAGAGAAAGAGCUCCAUCCUCCUGGAAGUGCUGAAACUCACAUCAGAGAAGAAACAAGUGGAGCUGACAGGCUGCUCACAUGAAGAGAGUGAAGUGAGGAGUUUCCUACAGUGUCUGCCUUAUAUCUCACAGCUCAGUGGUGAUCCAGAGUUCUUCCAGCGUGUGUUCACAUUAAUCUGUGUGAGAUCCAGAGAGGAGGCCGAGCAGUUGGCCUCUCUGCUGCAGCUCCUGGGCUUCAGCCUGCAGUUAACAGGAGAGUUGGGCUGGAAAACCUGCAGGUCUGUGGGAAGAGUUCUCAGACUCUGUGGUUCUGAUGUGGAUCUGGUCCUCACACCCAGAAGGAUCUCUGUCAGAGGAGCCUCCCUCCUCUUUAGACAUACAACUCAACUACACCGUCUGAGGCUUUCCAAUGGUGCGGCCUUGUUUCUGUCUCAGUGGGUCAGAAGAAAGAGAGUGGCCUGUCUGUUGGCUGUUGAGGAGCUUUCUCUUGCCCCUCAGAGAGGUCUACCAUCAGAAAGAGUUCUGUUGAAGGUGGUCAGUAGUUUGGCGUCCCUGCUGAGAUACUGGACAGUCAGCCGGUUGGACCUGACUGAGUUCUGUGGUUCUGCUCAGAGUCUCGUUCCACUGCUGCUUCAUGAUGGUCCUCUGACAAUCAAACUGAGUGAGAAGAUUUCCCAGGAGCUCCUCUUCCUCCUCCAGGACGUCCAGGACCAGAACUUGACCUGCUCCUUCUUUAAUAAGGUUGGUGGAGACCUGAGCUCGUGUUCUCUGAACUGGGAGGUUCUUCACUAUCUGCUGCAGCAGCCGUCAGCUCAGACCAUCACUGUGAACCUGAGGAAGAACCGCUUCUUACAGGAGAACAUCAGACGUCUGCUUCCCUUUCUGGAGAAGAUUGUAUUUAAAAGGCCCUGUCCCAGCUUUGUGUUGACUGUCAUCACAGAGAUCUAUCACACUCGAGCCAGUCCCUUUAUACCCAGUUUACUGAGGUCACUGGAUAAUGUGAUCAACCUGACCUGCAGAGAGAUGAACUCAGUGGACUGUGCUGCUCUGCUCUUCACCCUCCAACACUCUGACAGAGUUAAACUGAAGCUCCUCUGGACCUCCAUACCAACAGAGGAGAUGGAGUCCUUCCUCUUUACACUGGACAGAGUUUCUCAGCUCAGUGUGGACAGAAAUCUGCUGCUGCAGUUGGUCCACUGCUGUGCUGCCUCUGAUGCCCAGCAGGGGGCAGCAGUCAGCCUGCUCAGGACUCUGCAGCACAGGCUGGAUCUGUCCUGCUCCUCCUGUGUGGAGCUGCUUCAGGAGGGUCAGAGUGAAACUCUCAGUCUGACUGAUGAGGACUGCCGGGCCGUCUCCACCAUCCUGAGACACAGCAGCCAGCACACUCAGCUCCACCUGCAGGACUGUGAGGUGGAGGACAGCGGACUGGACCUGCUGUUUCCUGUCCUGGACAGAGUCCUCCUCAGAGCCAGUAAGACUGUCGUCCUCCAGCUGCUGUCCCUGGUUCCUGUGAACAGAGACAGAGACACAGUGAGACGGGCGGUGUCCCUGUAUGGAGCCCUGGGUGGAGAACUGGACCUCAGUCACACCACACUGGAUCAGAGGUCCUGUGGAGCUUUGGCUCAGCUGCUGGACGUCUCUGAAGGGCUGACAGAACUGGACCUGAGUCACUGUGAGCUCACUGACCAGCUGCUGCUCUCACUCCUCACACAUCUGCACAAAGUCCAAGUCCUGGAUCUGAGUCACAAUAAGAUCACUGAUGCUUCAGCUGACAUGUUACUUGAACUGGUCUCCAUCAACCCCUCCAUGGACACUGUGCGACUCUUCAGGAACAACAUUAAGGACACAACUCCUUUUAAGAAACACAAGCAGUUUGAAAUCUGGUGA
ensembl:lncRNA